rnacentral:rRNA from 1 species
GACGAACGCUGGCGGCGUGCUUAACACAUGCAAGUCGAACGGAAAGGCCCUGCUUUUGUGGGGUGCUCGAGUGGCGACCGGGUGAGUAACACGUGAGUAACCUGCCCUUGACUUUGGUAUAACUUCAGGAAACUGGGGCUAAUACCGGAUAGGAGCUCCUGCUGCAUGGUGGGGGUUGGAAAGUUUCGGCGGAGGGGGAUUGACUCGCGGCUUAUCAGCUUGUUGGUAGGGUAGUGGCUUACCAAGGCUUGGACGGGUAGCCUGCCUGAGAGGGUGACCGGACACAUUGGGACUGAGAUACGGCACAGACUCCUACGGGAGGCAGCAGUGGGGAAUAUUGCACAAUGGGAGGAAGCCUGAUGCAGCAACGCAGCGUGCGGGAUGACGGCCUUCGGGUUGUAAACCGCUUUCGCCUGUGACGAAGCGUGAGUGACGGUAAUGGGUAAAGAAGCACCGGCUAACUACGUG